AGAGUUUGAUCAUGGCUCAGGAUGAACGCUAGCGACAGGCCUAACACAUGCAAGUCGAGGGGCAGCGAAGAGGUAGCAAUACCUUUGUCGGCGACCGGCGCACGGGUGAGUAACACGUAUGCAAUCCACCUGUAACAGGGGGAUAACCCGGAGAAAUCCGGACUAAUACCCCAUAAUAUGGGCGCUCCGCAUGGAGAGCCCAUUAAAGAGAGCAAUUUUGGUUACAGACGAGCAUGCGCUCCAUUAGCCAGUUGGCGGGGUAACGGCCCACCAAAGCGACGAUGGAUAGGGGUUCUGAGAGGAAGGUCCCCCACAUUGGAACUGAGACACGGUCCAAACUCCUACGGGAGGCGGUA
rnacentral:rRNA from 1 species